rnacentral:lncRNA from 1 species
AUGGCAAGUGAGGUGCUCUACGCCAAGGUGUCGCCCAAGGAAAGAGGGAAUUUUAUUGCAGAAGAUUCAGAUACAGGUGACCAAGUCACAUAUGCUGAGGUGAAUGUGACAUGGAGAUCGGACACACCUGACAGCACACCCAAAACGACACAUUCAGGUACGGCACCACCACGGGACACUUCAUGUUUUCUCACUAUGUUUCAGCAGCCAAACAUCAUCUUCCUCCACAGCAUGGGAGAGAGUCACUUACUGUCUUUGCUGCAGGUGAUUUCAAUCCUUCUUUCCCUGCUUCCCGCUCCUGAAGGAUGCUCAGGACAUGCUUAAAAUUCAUUUUGCAGUGGAGGCCCUUGAAAACUCUUGUUCAUUUCAGCAACAAUCUCCAUGUAUUGCUUUUUACUUUAAAUGAAUUUUGGGUGAAUGAGCAGGACAACAUUCGUAUUUAAAGCAAGACUGAGUUACUUUUGGAAAGUAAUAGCCAAAACCAAAAAAUUUUGAACAACUUUUUGACAAUUCCAGGAAAAUUGUGUCUGCCUUUUCUUAAAUUAAAAUUUUAAGAUACUUUAAACUGUCUCAAACCAUUUAACCAGCCCUGAAAGAAAAUUUUGUUCCACAAAGUGAAAUGAUAUACUGGACAUGAGUUUUGACUCUUGUGUAUGAGGUGAAAAUGAAGAAGAGAAUAUUGCAUUCAUGUGAUGCAUAAGAGCAAUUAAUAUAUGUAUGAAAAAAUGUUAGCUGUGGGGAAAUGCUAAUGCAAACAAACAUUUCCAUUGGGGUUUCAUUUGGCCUCAAAACAAGAAAAAAGAAACUGAAAGCUUCAGAUGGUUUUUCUGAAUAAAAGUGGCAGUCAGGCAGACAAGGGAGUGGACCCUGUUACAAAGACAAAAUUAAUUUCCUGGCUUCGUUGAAAUGCCCUAUGGUUUUAUCCCAGUGAAUCCAGGCUUGGAAUGCAGCAUGGAAAGUGUUGUUCUGAUAUAGGGCCAGUGACCUGUCUGCUUUUUGGUUCCUUUUACAUCCCAGUCCUCAAUCCCUCCCUUCCUUUCUCUGAUUCUGGCUGCACCAUCCAGGUUUUUAGAAUAUUGUUCAAGGAAUAUCAAAAUCCAUAUAUGCUCUACGUAUGGAGAAAUGCUGCUGGGAGAGCUCUGUCCCUUCACAUUCUUAGCUGGAACUUCUUCAAAACCACAGAAGCCAAAUGUUUGUUCUGAUUCUUGUUUAGAUUGGGAAGCACUUUAUACAGAAAGUAUUAAGGAAUGGGGAUCAAAUGAACACAGUGAUCCUAGUCAGGAUUAAAGUUGGAGGAGAAAAUGAUGGAUUUAAAGCCCAAUUAAACAAGUGUGUUUUGUUGUGCUUAAAAAUUAUGGUAAUCUGGGAAGAGUCUCUAGAAUUUCAAAUAACCUAUAGAAUCUUUUUUUUAAAGCCUGAAUGGGACUUUCUAGUUUUCAUUGUAGGUCUUCAGUAGUGUAACGUCAGACAGUCAACACAGGAUGGCACAACCACUGCAAACCAUUUUCCACGGAGGUGGCAGGGCAUAUUCCAGGGGCAAGCACUGGCAGUGCUGUGUGUGCACGUGGCAAAAUGCUGGCACAGCAGUGCUGGCAAGGCUGUGCUCUGCCUCCAAAGGCAAGAGGUUCUGUCUUUAGGAUUCUUCUCAACAGCUGUGAUGACAAAAUGUAGGUCUGGCCAGGAAAAGGUUUCUUCUGACCCCGAAAGUGUGAUUUUAAUAGUUACACACAGGUUUGUAUACUAUAAAGCUACAUAAGUACGCGGGUGCUGUAUCUAGAGCAGGAAGCACAAUGAUUUCUCCUAUUCCCGUAACUCAGAGCAAAAGCUGCCUGCAGUGACAGCCCUGUCCCUUGUCCCUUUGGCAGCGGCCUGCUGGGAGAGCUCCCCCUGGUGCUUCGCUGUCUUCGCCCUGUGUUUCUGCGCCGCGGUUCUGCUCCUGGCAGUCAUCCUGCUGGCGGUGAGGUGUUACAGCCGCUGACCCUGCUGCGACGGGGUAAGCCCUCCCAGCCCUGCCUUCCCAUGCAAUCCCUCGGCACUCGGCACAGCAAGCUCCCAAACCAAAGGCUGGUGGUUUUAGGCAGCCAUGAGCUUCAGCUUCAGUGUGGUGCUCUCAUUCUAGCAGCUUUUGUCUCUUUUAUUUCCAGAUAAGUCAGCACAGGAAUGUUCUGCUUCAUCGAGAUGGGAUGUAGUGCUCGUAUUAUUUGACAUCAUUUUGGCUGAAGAGACAAAAUGAAAAGAUGCCAUCAGUCUGAUCACUCUCCUGUUAGGUCAUCCCAGGUCUCUGUUAAACCUCUCACCUCUCCAUACAUGGACAAGACAUAUAUUAAUUUUUAUUUGGAAUUUUCUUAAUCCAACUACAUCAGCGCAUGUACCAAGACACGGGCUCAACCUCCUGCAUCAAAAGGUGGAUUUGGGCCUAGGUUAGACAACAAAAAUGAGGUGGAAACAUACUUUUAAUUCACAUCUGACUUGAUUCUGCCCUGAUGUGGAAUGCAGACAAGAUUUUGGAUUAUAUGCAAGUACAAAAACUCAUGGACCAAACAGGGAAUGUGAAAGGUUGCACUGAGCUUUUUUAUAAAGCCUGGGCUUUAUAAACUUGAUUUUUCUUCUUCUGACAGCCUUUAGUUAGAUUUGUAGGAAAGGGAUAUUGAAGGUUCAAGAAAUGUUGUUAGCAGAGAAGUCUCAGUUUCAUCUCCUCAUUGGCUUGAAUUAAAUUAUUCUGCUCCACCUGUCCAGAAGAGCAUCUCACAAUAUACUGUUUCUGUCUCGGGGCAGUAAUUGAUUUUUGUAUUUGUUAGGAUUUUUUUUUUUCCCCACGUGCCAUAGCUUAAGUUAAAUCUGAGUCCUCCACUGGAACUGAAGCACCUGAAGUUCAAAUGCAUUUGUUUGUAAUUAUGACCUUAUUGUCUGUUUUUAUAUUAUGUUUGGAUCUUAUCCAUUUUCUUC